GUAACCAUUCCAUGUUGGCAACACCUCUUCUCGUCUGAUCAUCCAAGUUCAGCUAGACUGGGCCCGAUUAGUACUUGCACGGGUGAUCCGCUGGAAAUGAGGUUUGUUUCGGCC
rnacentral:rRNA from 1 species